UGCUGGUCCGAGUGCAGUGGUGUUUACAACUAAUUGAUCACAACCAGUUACAGAUUCCUUUGUUCCUUCUCCACUCCGCUGUUUCACUUGACCAGUCUUAA
ensembl:misc_RNA Y_RNA Y RNA